rnacentral:lncRNA from 1 species
AGAAUACAAUAUAUUUAUAUAACUAUCUAUAAUAUAUGUAUAAAGUAUCUGCAUUGAGUUGCAUCUGAAAUAGUAAAAUACUGACAUAUUAAAUUUUUUCCAGGUCAGUUAUCUGUAUUGAAUGGCUGGAGAAUACAAACCUAGUACAAAUGUAUAUAGAGGAAUGAAGAGGCCUCACAUAUAACUGACUGUCAUUGGGUAAUUUUAUUAUUAACAAAAAAAUUGAGAAUGGAAAUGGGGAAUGUGUCAAAGAGACAACAACCUGACCAAAGAGUAGAAAACAGCCAAAGACCACCAACACACUGAGAAAAUCCCACACACAGAGGCAUGCUUGAGCUACCACCUAAACAAAAAUGUGUACUACUCCACGGAAACAUGUGGUCAAGGUGAUAAUGAAUGUUAUACUAACUCCAAAAUUAAAAUGAACUAAAAUUAAAAAUCUUAAAAAAUAACAAAGGCUAGAAUGCGGUGGGGUCAAACAUGUUUUGCAAGAUUCAACCUAUCCUAAUACCUCUAUAGCUAGCCAUUGUAGAAAAACAAAAACAAUAUGCACAGUAAAUCUCAGUUUUAAAGAAGUCAUAGUCCUACAUUGUAUGUCAGAAUAGGCAAAAUGAUAGGAAAUAAAACAAAAUAAGCAAAAUGACAACUAUACAUAAAUUUACAAAGGACUACUAGCAGUUACUGACAUGUUCCUCAGACAUAUGUGAACUUAACUAAAUGUCAUACACUAUAUGUUUUAUCACUUUUUGACUUUUUUUUAGCACAUGAAAUAUAUAUUGUACCAUGUUUUUUUAAGAUUUUUUUUGUUGGUACCUUAUAAAUACUGGUAGGACAUGAAUUACCAAUAAGAAAAAUAAUUUCUUUGGUUUUAUUCCAAUACAGAUACAUGAAGUCAGACUAAAUGUUUUUGAACCUUGCAUAUCUACUUGAACUUGUUUCAUAGUUUAGCAAAAUUACUUUAUUCAGUAAAAUUUCUAAACAAAUGUAUAGUUUUGUAGACAUUGGCCUCAUAAAAAUUAGAUAUAGGAAGAUGUGGUGUGAGUGCCAAUGAGACAACUCUCCAUCCAAAUAACAAUUUAUAAAAGUAAACCAUUAUAGGUCAAUGUACGGCCUUCAACACAGAGCCUUGACUCACACCGAACAAAAAGCUAUAAAACCCCAAAAUUACUAGUGUAAAACCAUUCAAACAGGAAAACCAACGGUCAAAUUGCAUUUUAUUAAACUUGGUCAAAUUAUAUUUCAGCAAAAGGCUUUGCCAUCCAAUACAUUUCAUCUUGGAUGAAAAAGAACACCAGUCUGAUGAUGGUGACAGGUCAAAUUUACCUAACAGGUAACAUAUACAUGACAUAUUGUUUUAGGGAGCUACCAUUUAUUUUAAGGGGGGGGUAUGGAAUUUGAAAAAUAGGCAGACAGGAUUUUGAGUAAAAAAAAAGCAGGAUUGACACUUGCAAAAAAAAAGUCAGGACGACAAUUUAGGUAAAAAAAAUCAGGAUAAACUAAAAAAAAAAGUCAGGACCGAUUAGAGUGAAAAAUAAAAAGGCAGGACAGAGAUUACAGCUAAAAAAAAAUGCAGGACAAAAUUUUUCAUCCUAGCCCCCCCCAUAAAAAUCAAAUGGUAGCUCCCUAAGGCUAAACAUACAUGCAUGCAUAUUGGGACCAGGGAAGACACUUAGAGAUCCAAAGUUACAAUGUGUGGUUGGGUUAAUUGCAAUGAAAAUGUUAGUGAAAUUCUCAAUUGGCUUCUAUCAGUUGUAACCCUAUUAUGAAUGUGUUUUCCUGUGUACAAUGUGUGAUUAAAAGUAAGAGCCUAAGGCUUUAUAAUGCAUACUCCUUUUUAUUGCUUAAGUUUAAAUUUAACAAUAUUAACUAUAGUUGAAAAAUCUGUAUUUUUCAUCUGUUUUAUUUAUCCUUCCAUGGAUGGGCACUUGUUGUUUAACCUACAUGUACAUUAUUGUUAUGUUAGUUUAGUAAAGUAUGAAUUAAUAAUGGAUUAAACCCAGAUUUGUGUUAAAUAUAGCCUCCUUUUGUUGUGCUUGAUAUCCUAUUAUUUUUUUUUAUAUAUUAAGAUAAGUAAGUUAACACUUAUAGACAUACUCCAACAAAUAUAAUAUUUUUUAAAACCAGUAUAUAUUUUAAAUGGAGUGUUUGAAAGAGAGAGUCGAAAAAACAAUGCACAAAACCAGACAAAUUGAAACAAAUGCAUGACACAAGUGUGUUUAAAAACAAAAGGAAUGUUUCUCUGUUUACGAGUUAUUGUAUGGACUACAAACACAAUACAAACCCUCUUAAAACCCAGGUUAUAUCAGGUGUUAAGAGUCAGCAUACACUGCUUGUAUAUGAUUUAUAGUUCAUAACUGUCUGUCAUUCUGUACCUCUGUCAAACCUUGUAAAUUAGCCAUACUUGGUAUAGAAUAAAGAUUAUUUGUACACAAUGAUUUUCAAUGUAUAGUUUCACACUAUAUAUAUAUGAAAAUAACUUUGUAUAAUUUUCAUAUUUCUGUUUCCUGAAAACUAGUAACGAUUACCAGUAUAGUUGUAUAGUUCUAAGCAUUUUGUCAAACAUCUGAACUUGUAAUAAUAUUCCCUGAACAUUUUUAUACAGGAUUGUGGUUAAAACUCUUAAAAUAUAAAUAUUUCUGUAACAAUUUUAAACGUAAUAACAAUUAACCACUUCAUGAUAUCCAUUACCAAAAGUGUUGUAUAGUCUGAUUAAAACCACAGAAUUUACUUUGCUUUUCAGAUACUAGUGAAGAAAUAAAGAAACAAGAGUAGACACCAUUUGACCAACUGUGCUUACAGUACUUGUGCAACAGUUGUGAUUGAUGUCCAUAUUACAUUGUAGUAUGAUAAUACUUUACAGCAUCGACAGAAUUAUCAUCUUGGUCGUCAAUGCCUCUCAUUUCAUAAUAAAUUGCAUUUGUUAUUUAGGUUGUAUGAUUUUCUAAAACGACUUUUUUGUUAUUAAUGGAGUAGAAUGUUGAAAAAACAAAUGACAAAGAAAAUUGCUGAAUAAAGGCCACAAGUUCUUUUUUAUUGUUUUAAAUAAAAAUUAGUAUGGUGUUUGACUGAAUUAAAAAAGAUAUUUCUUAUUUAUUUCCAGUACAUUAAAAAGCACUUUAUCACACAAUCAGUGGCAGAUCCAGAAAUUUUCAUAAGUUAGGGCCCACUGACUGCCUAAGAGGGGGUCCAGCUCACUCCAGUCAUGCUUCAGUGAUUCCCUAUAUAAUCCACCAAUUUUGUUUCCAUAAAAGGAGGGGGCUGGGCCCCCCGCCCCCCUAAACCCACCUCUGACAAUACCAUGAAAAUAAAUUUGCUGUAGCUAUUUGUUGUAUUUUGUUUUCAUUGUGUAUUUCUGACAUAAAACCCUCAUUUUUACUAUAUAUAUC